AGAAUGGUAACUGCGCCACUGGAGGGAGAGGCUGGAGAGAAAAUGUAGAGUGCACAAUAAAAGCUCGCCGGCUGAAAUAUCUGGUGUAAUAGGAGAUCUGUGAGGAGGAACCAGUUGGAGGAGGGCUGCGCCAGAGACGUCCGAACACCUGGAAUGGCGAGGAGUCCAGUUGAUAACCCGUGAAAGAUAAGGAAAAAUUUGCCUUCUCGGUACCAGCCAUAAAUUUACAACAACCAUCACAAUGAUAUCAAUGGAAGGUUCUUCCGCAAGGCAUGGCAAAUACUCCAACUGUAUGCCAAAGAUGGAACCAGAGGUGAGCAGUGGGUACCAACAAGAAGAAUUAGGGCCAUCGGCCAUGGUGAACAAGAAACAACGAAAAAAGAAGAAAAGACAGAAGAAGCCAUAGAAAAGGACAUCACAGAGACAAAGCAAUGGAGAUGACAACUGCAAACUUUGCCAGGAACAUUGCCUUUCAUGAAUCUAAGCCGAGUUAUAGUAGCACAAAGACACUGGAGUGAGCUGGUGAAUGCGGUACAACGUCUAGCUGACCAGCAAGGACAAUGAACUUGGAGGAUGAUACGUGGGCCCCCGAUGGUGCAUAUGGUAGGGUGGGGACAGAAUGGUAUGGUAAUGCUUCCCCAUCUAACAGGGCAUUAUACAACUGAAAUCCCUGAGUAAAAAUGCGUGGAAGCUCA